GUGAGUUCUACAGCGGCAUAUUUGAGACAUCCAAGUUGGAAGGAACCCAAUCAGAGAUGGCAUUAUUAUAUUCUGCUAAUGGUAGGGGAAAUGACAGGAGCCUGGCAUGGCUGUCCUCUGAGAGGCCCAACAAGCAGCUGAUUGAGACAGAUGCAGAUACUUACAGCCAACCAUUGGACAGAGGUCAGGGAACCCUAUAGAAGAGUUAUGGGAAGCACUGUAGGAACUGAAGGGGAUGGCAACCCCAUAGGAAGAACAGGGUCAACUAACCUGGACCCCUGGAAGCAACCAGAGACUAAGCCACCAACCAAAGAGCAUACAUGGGCUGGCUGGAAGUCUCUGGCACAUAUGCCUUAUCUGGACUCAGUGAUUGAAAAACGUGCCUAAUCCUGAAGAGACUUGAUGCCCUGGAGAAGGAGGAAGUGAGGGGAUUGAGUAGGAGGGGCAGGGAUGUAAAUAAAUAAAAUGAUUAGUUUUUAAAAAGAGAAAA
rnacentral:lncRNA from 1 species